GUAGGUGGCAAGCGUUGUCCGGAAUUAUUGGGCGUAAAGCGCGCGCAGGUGGUUCUUUAAGUCUGAUGUGAAAGCCCCCGGCUCAACCGGGGAGGGUCAUUGGAAACUGGGGAACUUGAGUGCAGGAGAGGAAAGUGGAAUUCCACGUGUAGCGGUGAAAUGCGUAGAUAUGUGGAGGAACACCAGUGGCGAAGGCGACUUUCUGGCCUGUAACUGACACUGAGGCGCGAAAGCGUGGGGAGCAAACAGGAUUAGAUACCCUGGUAGUCCACGCCGUGAACGAUGAGUGCUAAGUGUUGGGGGGGUUUCCCGCCCCUCAGUGCUGCAGCUAACGCAUUAAGCACUCCGCCUGGGGAGUACGGUCGCAAGACUG
rnacentral:rRNA from 1 species